UGCUUUGCAAUAGUCAGCGCGAAGAGAAAUGAACAGUGUUUUAUCGUGUUUCCAACUCACGCGCCCGCGUGUCGUGUGGGUUGAGAGUGUGUAAAUAACACGCACACGCUUCUCGGCGUCUCUCGUGAGACCCACCACCGUGUGUCAGAAGGUGCACGCAGAGUCCAACUAUAAGUACCCGGACACGGCCUCGCUUCACACGGUUGGUCCGAUGGCAGUGAGAUUUCAAUUGAUUGCUACACUCCACAGUUUGCAAACAGCAACACAAAUCCAGUGUAAACCGCUGGAAAGAAGCAUGGAGUUGAUGGAGCAACAGCAACGUCUGGAUGCGACGUCACAACAAGCAUAGACCAAGUCUGCUUCUGCUGAUACCGAGACACUCGAUGGAAGAACAUUCGUUUAAUCAAUUGUCAAUUAACCAUCACUUUGGAUGAUUUAGAAAUGAAUAGCCUUAGUUUGUGAAGUCAGCCCUUUCUCACAGCCAAAUCCUGGGGAAAUCCUAUCUGUUGUGUGUGGUUCACAGUUCUCUGUGGCUCAUCAUGUGCACUGGUCAGGGCACAAUCACCACAAAAACGGUCCAUUUCUUAACAGAGCUACGUCAGUUUCUCGUACAUGUACAAUGCCCAUAAUCAUUUCAAAGUAAAAAUGUUAUUCCAACAAUAUUAGCAAUAUGUGCCUUAGUGUAUUAAUUUGUUUUACUGAAAAUUGCAAAUCUGAAAGGCUGCAAGUUGAAACCUCAUAUCUUCUAUGAAAGAAGUGUUUUGGUUUAAGUCUGUAGUUCGCAAGUAAAUGUUCAGGUGAGCAGUCACCAGCUGACAUCUCCUUCUCAAAAGGUCAAAGGUGAAAAUAGGCACAAA